rnacentral:rRNA from 1 species
CCUACGGGGGGCUGCAGUGGGGAAUAUUGGACAAUGGGGGCAACCCUGAUCCAGCCAUGCCGCGUGUGUGAAGAAGGCCCUCGGGUUGUAAAGCACUUUCAGUGAGGAAGAACGCCUGGUGGUUAAUACCCAUCAGGAAAGACAUCACUCACAGAAGAAGCACCGGCUAACUCCGCGCCAGCAGCCGCGGUAAUACGGAGGGUGCGAGCGUUAAUCGGAAUUACUGGGCGUAAAGCGCGCGUAGGUGGCUUGAUAAGCCGGUUGUGAAAGCCCCGGGCUCAACCUGGGAACGGCAUCCGGAACUGUCAAGCUAGAGUGCAGGAGAGGAAGGUAGAAUUCCCGGUGUAGCGGUGAAAUGCGUAGAGAUCGGGAGGAAUACCAGUGGCGAAGGCGGCCUUCUGGACUGACACUGACACUGAGGUGCGAAAGCGUGGGUAGCAAACAGGAUUAGAUACCCUUGUAGUC